UGGACAUUAUGGGAAACGGUGACUUGAUCAGCAUAGCCCUGACUGUUAAUGGACAACUUAAUACAUUAUCCCUCUUAGUAGUUUUUUUGUCUGUUCUACGUAAUAUGACUGGUUUAAUUCUGUAAUUAAUACACAGUUAUUCUUAAGUGUUAAAAAUUAACUGAAAUGGGAUCCCUGUUAAACAUAAGAGUGGGAAUAAGAGAGGGAAGAGAUGUAUAAUUUGGGACAUGCUCAAGCUGACUUGCCCCAAAUGGUAGAGUUAAAAACAUACCAGGGGAUUCCAAUUCAAUCCCAUCAAGGUGGCAUGUGCCAAUGCCAUCUCACUAUUCCAAGUGAUCAAUUUCAGUUCACAAUUGAUCAUAAUGAAAGGACUAAGAGUCAAAGGGAGCACAUAAACAAGUCUAGUACCUGCUAACACUAACCGAUGGAAUAAAUAAAGGGGAGAGUGAUCCAACAUGGGAAGUGAGAUACUCAGCAGACUCAUAGAAUGACAGAUGUCCUAAAUAGCACUCUGGCCUCAGAAUCAGCCCUAAAGGCAUUCGGAUCUGGCUGAAAAGCCCAUGAGAGUAUUUCAGGCAUGGAAAGCCAAGACACUCUGGCAAAAGAUCUCUGUGAGUGAGAUCUCAGUGGAAAGAACAGGUCUUCAAAGAAGGAGGUACCUUUCUCUGAAGGGAGGAGAGAACCUCCACUUUGAAUAUGACCUUGUCUAAACAAGAUAAGAAUCGGAGAACUCAGAGGGCUUCCAUAGCCUUGGAAACUCAUGACUGGAGCAUAGGGAGAUUACUGAUGCCAUAGACAGGAGUGUCAAUUGGUAAAGUCAAUAACAGGAGUCACUGUGCACUUACUCCUCAUGUAGGAUCUCUAUCCUUAAUGUGCUGUACAUUGAGAUUUAAUGCUAUAACGAGUACUCAAACAAUAUAUUUCACUUUGUGUUUCUAUGGGGGUGCAAACUGUUGAAAUCCUUACUUAAUGCAUACUAAACUGAUCCUCUGUAAAAAAAAAAUAAAAAAAAAAAAAAAAAAGAAAU